UUUCGUCCCCCCAGAUGUGCAGUAUUUCUGCCCGCUGUUCCACAUCCAAUCUGAGCAAUGAAACCACUGCUGUGAGAUCAGUUUGGAGGAUUCACGAUGCAGAUAUCACGUUUCUUAAGUGAAGUGAAAGUGACCUAUUUGUCAGCUGUUUCACGUGUCAUUUCUCUUCUUCAUCUUUGGAAUUGGUCAGUUGUGACAUUGCCGCAGCAGAGGGUGAGGGAUCUCUAUAAGGGUUUUGGAGAUUGUUUGCUGAGGGGGAGAGGUGGCCCUAGUGCUACAGCUACAGGUAGUAGUUACAGUGGCGGACCAUAAUGGUUCCUAAAAAGGCGCGGGUGGUGCAGGCAGAGGUUGUGGAACCUGCUAUUGCUAUGGCAGUGGGAGAUGAUGAUGGUGAAUCCAAAGCAGAGCUGGUGAGCGACGCUGAGGAUGUUGCGCUGACUGAGCUGAGGGAUAUGAUACGAUCACAUCUCACACUGCAACAGGAUCGAGAGCGCCGCAUGCAGCAAGAGGCUGUCCGGCAAGAAGCGCGGUGGAAGGCAAUGUAGCAUCAGUUCUCGCUGUUACAACAAGAGGUGCAUGUGAGAACGACACCAGAUCCCAGACUGGGUAGUGGGAUCUAGUAUGGCCCUUCAUCACAGCCAACAGCUCAACAAACAUCAUCCAUCACCCAGGGUGAUCCAAGCAGCAGAGUAAUGGCAUCUCCAGUAGUCUCAUUACAGGGAAGCCAAGGCCAGAGCCAACUGAGAAUUGAGAGAGAGCCAAACCUGCAACGACUUAAUGAGACCGAUGAUGUAGAGCAUUAUUUAGCAACAUUUGGACAAAUAGCUGUGGUGUGUCGGUGGCCAACAACCGACUGGGCAGUUAGGUUAGUGCCCCUCCUGACGGGCAAGGCUAGGGCUGCAUAUGUGCAUAUGGACAUGGUUGACUCGUUGGAAUAUGAAAAGGUCAAGGCAGCUAUUCUUGCCAAGUAGGACAUUAAUUCCGAGAUUUAUCGUCUUCAGUUUCGAUCUACGGAUGUGGAGGAGGAUGAAACCCCAAAGGAGUUGUAUGCCAGACUUAAGGAACAGUUUUCUAAGUGGGUGCAGCCACAGCGUCAUACAAAAGAUGAGAUGGUUGAAGUGAUUAUCUUGGAGCAGUUUUUGCGCAUGCUGGCACCUGAUCUCCAAGUUUGGAUUAAAGAACGAGAUCCUAGUUCUGCUGCUGAAGCUGCAACCUUGGCUGACACCUUUGUGGCAGCUCGACGAAAGACUCAGCCAUGGACAUUUAAAUGGUGGAAGCAGAGCAAAGAUUCCACCAAGCCCCACUAUUCCUCUCCAGCUAUAGUAAGAGCCAAUGGUGAAGACUGAUGCUUCUAAUACUGGCAUAGGGGCAGUCCUGUUACAAGGAGAAGUCGGAAACAGGCAUCCAGUGGCCUAUAUAAGUCGGAAGUUGUAUCCCAGAGAAAUCAAAUAUUCUACAGUUGAGAAAGAAUGUUUGGCUGUUAAAUGGGCCUUGGACAGGUUCAAAUACUACCUUUUGGGAUGAGAGUUUCAGUUAGAAACUGAUCAUCGGCCACUCCAAUGGAUGGACCGUAUGAGAGACUCUAAUGCGCGAAUUACUCUGUGGUACUUGUCCAUGCAGCCUUAUCGGUUUACUAUUCACCAUGUACCAGGGAAGAGUAAUGUUAUGGCGGACUUUCUUUCUCGCCUGCUGGUUUGAGAAGAGGCAGGGGGGAGUGUGAUGGUCACGGAAUGACCACACAUUUAGUUUUGCUUGUUCUUUGGACUUUUGUAUACACCCACACAUUUACACACACAUGCAUACAUUCAUACAGAUACACAUUUGACAAGUUUAAGUUAUGUGUUAUUGUUCUGAAUGAAAUUGAGAAAUUGUCAAAUACCUGUUUUCCUUUUGCAGCACUGUUUGUAAAACAAAGGAAAACAGUGGAGGGAGUUUUGGCUCCAUUUAAAGGACCGUACCAUUGGUAAUUGAGAAUGGGUGUUCAGGGAGAAUGCAGCCGAGUUGCUCCUGUUAUUAAUCCCUUUCAUUGCUUUUGAAUUUGUAUAUCCCUCUGCAUAAGAUAAUGGAGUAUUGCUUGUUUAUUGAAAUGUUUACUUAGAAUUUGAUACUUAUAGGAAAGUUUGUCAAAUGUUUUGUACGUGUAUGUCCCUCCCCACGGGGACAAUGGUGCUGGCCGCCAGUAUAAAUGUGUGUGUCUUUGUUAAGGGUUUUUGGGAUUGUUUGCUGUGGGGUAGAGGUGGCCCUAGUGCUACAGGUAUUUUUCUAGUCUUUCUUUGGGGAAUUUUUGCCAUAUUUUUGUAAAGGCUGUGUUUUGCCUUUCUUGUUUUGGAACCUGAUUUUGAUGUUUUCGUAUUUUCGGAAUAUUCUUUUGUUAUAGUAUAUUUUUCCAUGUACAUUUUCUUUCCAUUUUUGGGGAUGAAGUUUGUCCCUUUUGGCCCGUUUUCAUGAAUGUUGGAUUUUUGGGCUACUUUAAAUUGGGUUUUUAAUAAAUAUUCAAGUCAUGGAACAGAUUUUCUGACUUUUGCCUCUGUUUAAUUUGGCCUUGUAUUUUUGUACCCAUUAUGGGGAAACUGUGACAAACCCAACGUGAUUAUUUUAUUCAUUGGAUUUCAAGAAAGUAAGCAUUCAUAUUUAGCAGAAAUGUCCCAGCAGUAUAUAAAAAUAACAAAGGCCGAAGAUCAAAAUGAAGUGUAACUUGCACACCUUUAAUAAAAACGUAUCAGCAUGUAUCUGUAACUUUAAAUACUUUUAAACGGUUGAAUGCUCAGUGGUCUGAAGGUCAUACAAGUCUAUGGAUGUCCUUAUGACAUGAAUUUGUAAUGAAAAGGUUUGUGUGUAAAAGUUUAAGAGAGCCUGUACACCAGAGUAUAAAAAACUCUUUUUAUUCAGCAAUUCUGAGUUCCUGUGGUUAAGAUUACACAAGCAUGCAGGGUAUGAUUUAUUUUCAGUUUUUUAUGUUUAUUCACAAUGCAAUGUUUGUCUGCUAGACUUUAUUUGUACAUGCAUUAUAGUAACUGUGAUUUAUUCUCAGAAUGGUGUUAUCAUGAUCCUGCCUCUUCUUGUCAUGAUUUUCUAGUCUUGUGGCAGGGUCAUGACAGUCCCACAUGUUUAGUGUGGAGAGGGACAUGUAAUUGUUUGUUUUUGCAUUCCAUGCGCUCUCUCCGGUCUCGUCAUUGGCCCCGCCCCCUCGUUUCCUUAUUUAGCUUCCCGCCUGUCUCUCAUUACCCACACCUACCCAUUGUUAUCUUCCCUUGUUAGUUCCCUUAUUUAAUGCCCUUUUGUUUGCUGUCCUGUGCUGAUUUGUUUUACUUUGUUUGAGCCGUGCUUGAUACAUGUGCUUUGGAACUGUGUAUUUUGCAACGUCAUGCCCUUGUGAGUUUCACCUUGCCUUUUUUGUGGAGGACUGUCCAUUUCAAUAACAUUUCUUAAACUGGAUAAACUCAGUAGCAGUUGCAGGAGUCCACAUCAUCUGCAGAGUCUGCACAAAAAGUGCUACAGAGAUGAGGAAAAUAUGAUUUUGUUGUGCUAUUUUAUUCCUUUUAAUGUAUUGCGAAGUAUUGAUUUCUCUCCACAAAAGGCACAAGGGGCAUCCAUGAAUAAACAUUUUACAGUCUUUAAAGGUUGAAUGUAUGCCAGUUAAAAAGCAAAAAUUUCAAUACAUUGACCAUGACAAUAUAAAGAACACAAAACUAAAACUAGAGAUUUCGUUUUAAAAAGAUUGGAGAUUUAUAAACUAUUUCUAACAUUGUUUACUGACAUAACAUCUCAUAUUGCAGAGCUGACACUGAUACCUGCCUAUUUUCCAUGGAGAUUAAAAAUAAAAUGCA